rnacentral:rRNA from 1 species
CAGGGAUUGCCUUAGUAACGGCGAGUGAAGCGGCAAUAGCUCAAAUUUGAAAGCUGGCGUCUUCGACGUCCGCGUUGUAAUUUGUAGAGGAUGCUUCGGCGAAGACUCCUGCCUAAGUCCCCUGGAACGGGGCGUCAUAGAGGGUGAGAAUCCCGUAUGUGGCGGGCAGUCUAAGCCAUGUGAAGCUCCUUCGACGAGUCGAGUUGUUUGGGAAUGCAGCUCUAAAUGGGAGGUAAAUUUCUUCUAAAGCUAAAUAUUGGCCAGAGACCGAUAGCGCACAAGUAGAGUGAUCGAAAGAUGAAAAGCACUUUGGAAAGAGAGUUAAAAAGUACGUGAAAUUGUUGAAAGGGAAGCGCUUGCAACCAGACUCGCUCGUAGUUGCUCAGCCGGCCUCUUGGCCGGUGUACUCUUCUACGAUCGGGCCAGCAUCAGUUCGGGCGGCAGGAUAAAGGUGUCGGGAAUGUAGCACCCUUCGGGGUGUGUUAUAGCCCGGCGCGGAAUGCUGCCAGCCUGGACUGAGGAUCUCGCUUCGGCAAGGAUGCUGGCGUAAUGGUUGUAAGCGGCCCGUCUUGAAACACGGACCAAGGAGUCUAACAUCUAUGCGAGUGUUUGGGUGUCAAACCCAUGCGCGUAAUGAAAGUGAACGGAGGUGGGAACCCCUCACGGGGUGCACCAUCGACCGAUCCUGAUGUCUUCGGAUGGAUUUGAGUAAGAGCAUAGCUGUUGGGACCCGAAAGAUGGUGAACUAUGCCUGAAUAGGGUGAAGCCAGAGGAAACUCUGGUGGAGGCUCGCAGCGGUUCUGACGUGCAAAUCGAUCGUCAAAUUUGGGUAUAGGGGCGAAAGACUAAU